rnacentral:rRNA from 1 species
GUAACACGUGGGAAAUUACCAAGAAGUGGGGGAUAGCUUGGCGAAAGCCAAAUUAAUACCGCAUAUGAUCGCAAGAUCAAAGCCGGGGACCGCAAGGCCUGGCGCUUUUUGAGAUGCCCGCGGCCCAUCAGCUAGUUGGCGAGGUAAAAGCUCACCAAGGCUAUGACGGGUAGCUGGUCUGAGAGGACGACCAGCCACACUGGAACUGAGACACGGUCCAGACACCUACGGGUGGCAGCAGUCGAGAAUUUUUCACAAUGGGGGAAACCCUGAUGGAGCGACGCCGCGUGGAGGAUGAAGGUUUUCGGAUUGUAAACUCCUGUCACUGCAGAACAAGGGUGCGUUUGUUAAUAGCAAACGUAUUUGAUGGUAUGCGGAGAGGAAGGGACGGCUAACUCUGUGCCAGCAGCCGCGGUAAGACAGAGGUCCCGAGCGUUGUUCGGAUUCAUUGGGCGUAAAGGGUGUGUAGGAGGUCGGGUAAGUCAGGUGUGAAAUCUCACAGUUAACUGUGAAACUGCGCUUGAUACUGCCCGGUAGAGGAUCGGAGGG